AAAGUACCUGGACCUCUAUGCCCAUGCUUCUAGCAGCCAGCCUCCUAAAAUACCUCUAGUUGAAGCCAAAGUUAGAAUCCUUCUACGAAACUACAGGAUUAAAAUGGAAUGGUUACAUGACCCAGGCUUGACCAAUCAGAUCAUCCAAACCCUUUGCCACAGUGAUUGGUCCAGGGAUACAUGCAUGAGCCAGCUCAGGUGGCAUUGUAUUAUGCGCCAAGAGUGAACCAGAUAGAGGAAGUUGCUCCUUAAGCUUGCAGGUCUGAAAGAACAAGGAAUUGCCUCUCUUCAAAGGCAAGUAACUUCCAUGAUUGACACUUUUCUCUCAUCAGCCCUCCAACAGUAAUUAUGCCAGAAACAGACCCAAACCUGGGCUAGUCACUUGUAGCAGGCUUUCUGGACAUAAGGCUGUAAUCACACCUGACUUUCCUUUCAGAUAAGAAGUCCAGCCACUUCUUUAAUUUAUCGGAUUAUAAGGUAGAGGAUAUAUAUAUUU
rnacentral:lncRNA from 10 species